rnacentral:rRNA from 1 species
GGAAAAUAUUGGGGGCGUAAAAGCGCGCGUAGGCGGUUUCUUAAGUCUGAUGUGCCCCCCCACGGCUCAACCGGGGAAGGUCAUUGGAAACUGGCAAGCUUGAGUGCAGAAGAGGAAAGUGGAAUUCCAUGUGUAGCGGUGAAAUGCGCAGAGAUAUGGAGGAACACCAGUGGCGAAGGCGACUUUCUGGUCUGUAACUGACGCUGAUGUGCGAAAGCGUGGGGAUCAAACAGGAUUAGAUACCCUGGUAGUCCACGCCGUAAACGAUGAGUGCUAAGUGUUAGGGGGUUUCCGCCCCUUAGUGCUGCAGCUAACGCAUUAAGCACUCCGCCUGGGGAGUACGACCGCAAGGUUGAAACUCAAAGGAAUUGACGGGGACCCGCACAAGCGGUGG